rnacentral:rRNA from 1 species
UACGUAGGGGACGGGCGUUGUCCGGAAUUAUUGGGCGUAAAGAGCGUGUAGGCGGCUCUGCAAGUCCUGCGUGAAAUCUCGAGGCUCAACCUCGAGCGGUCGUGGGAAACUGGAGGGCUAGAGUGCGGGAGAGGGAAGUGGAAUUCCAGGUGUAGCGGUGAAAUGCGCAGAUAUCUGGAAGAACACCCGUGGCGAAGGCGGCUUCCUGGAACGACACUGACGCUGAGACGCGAAAGCGUGGGGAGCAAACAGG